rnacentral:rRNA from 1 species
GACGAACGCUGGCGGCGUGCUUAACACAUGCAAGUCGAACGGUAAGGCCCUUCGGGGUACACGAGUGGCGAACGGGUGAGUAACACGUGGGUGAUCUGCCCUGCACUUCGGGAUAAGACUGGGAAACUGGGUCUAAUACCGGAUAGGACUCCUGGCUCCAUGGUUGGGGGUGGAAAGCUUUUGCGGUGUAGGAUGGGCCCGCGGCCUAUCAGCUUGUUGGUGGGGUGAUGGCCUACCAAGGCGACGACGGGUAGCCGGUCUGAGAGGGUGACCGGCCACACUGGGACUGAGAUACGGCCCAGACUCCUACGGGAGGCAGCAGUGGGGAAUAUUGCACAAUGGGCGCAAGCCUGAUGCAGCGACGCCGCGUGAGGGAUGACGGCCUUCGGGUUGUAAACCUCUUUCAGCACCGACGAAGCGCAAGUGACGGUAGGUGCAGAAGAAGGACCGGCCAACUACGUGCCAGCCGCCGCGGUAA